rnacentral:rRNA from 1 species
UACGGAGGGUGCAAGCGUUAUCCGGAUUUACUGGGUUUAAAGGGUGCGUAGGUGGGUCUGUAAGUCAGUGGUGAAAUCUCCGAGCUUAACUCGGAAACUGCCAUUGAUACUAUAGGUCUUGAAUUAUCUGGAGGUAAGCGGAAUAUGUCAUGUAGCGGUGAAAUGCUUAGAUAUGACAUAGAACACCAAUUGCGAAGGCAGCUUACUACGGAUUGAUUGACACUGAGGCACGAAUGCGUGGGGAUCAAACAGG